GAGCACAACGCAAACAUACCAGAAAGUAUGCAAUUACACUUCUUCACUUCACACCA
rnacentral:sRNA from 1 species